CACGUAGGGGGCGAGCGUUGUCCGGAUUUAUUGGGCGUAAAGAGCUCGUAGGCGGCUCAGUAAGUCAGGUGUGAAAACUCCAGGCUCAACCUGGAGACGCCACCUGAUACUGCUGUGGCUAGAGUCCGGUAGGGGAGCAUGGAAUUCCUGGUGUAGCGGUGAAAUGCGCAGAUAUCAGGAGGAACACCAGUGGCGAAGGCGGUGCUCUGGGCCGGAACUGACGCUGAGGAGCGAAAGCGUGGGGAGCGAACAGG
rnacentral:rRNA from 1 species